rnacentral:rRNA from 1 species
AGGGUUUGAUCCUGGCUCAGAUUGAACGCUGGCGGCAGGCCUAACACAUGCAAGUCGAGCGGUAGAGAGAAGCUUGCUUCUCUUGAGAGCGGCGGACGGGUGAGUAAUGCCUAGGAAUCUGCCUGGUAGUGGGGGAUAACGUUCGGAAACGAACGCUAAUACCGCAUACGUCCUACGGGAGAAAGCAGGGGACCUUCGGGCCUUGCGCUAUCAGAUGAGCCUAGGUCGGAUUAGCUAGUUGGUGAGGUAAUGGCUCACCAAGGCGACGAUCCGUAACUGGUCUGAGAGGAUGAUCGGUCACACUGGAACUGAGACACGGUCCAGACUCCUACGGGAGGCAGCAGUGGGGAAUAUUGGACAAUGGGCGAAAGCCUGAUCCAGCCAUGCCGCGUGUGUGA